rnacentral:rRNA from 1 species
AGAGUUUGAUCCUGGCUCAGGAUGAACGCUAGCUACAGGCUUAACACAUGCAAGUCGAGGGGCAGCAUGUUGGUUGCUUGCAACCAAUGAUGGCGACCGGCGCACGGGUGAGUAACGCGUAUCCAACCUUCCCCUUAGUAGGGCAUAGCCCGUAGAAAUGCGGAUUAAUACCCUAUGUUGUAUAUUGAGGACAUCUGAUUUAUACCAAAGGUUCACCGCUAAGGGAUGGGGAUGCGUCUGAUUAGGUAGUCGGCGGGGUAACGGCCCACCGAGCCUACGAUCAGUAGGGGUUCUGAGAGGAAGGUCCCCCACAUUGGAACUGAGACACGGUCCAAACUCCUACGGGAGGCAGCAGUGAGGAAUAUUGGUCAAUGGACGAGAGUCUGAACCAGCCAAGUAGCGUGCAGGAUGACGGCCCUAUGGGUUGUAAACUGCUUUUAUACGGGGAUAAAGUGAGGGACGUGUCCCUUUUUGUAGGUACCGUAUGAAUAAGGACCGGCUAAUUCCGUGCCAGCAGCCGCGGUAAUACGGAAGGUCCGGGCGUUAUCCGGAUUUAUUGGGUUUAAAGGGAGCGCAGGCCGAUGGUUAAGCGUGACGUGAAAUGUAGCCGCUCAACGGCUGAACUGCGUCGCGAACUGGCUGUCUUGAGUGAGUUCGAUGUGGGCGGAAUUCGUGGUGUAGCGGUGAAAUGCUUAGAUAUCACGAAGAACUCCGAUUGCGAAGGCAGCCCACAAGGCCUUUACUGACGCUAAUGCUCGAAGGUGCGGGUAUCGAACAGGAUUAGAUACCCUGGUAGUCCGCACGGUAAACGAUGGAUGCCCGCUGUUUGCGAUAUACUGUGAGCGGCCAGAGAAAUCGUUAAGCAUCCCACCUGGGGAGUACGCCAGCACGGUGAAACUCAAAGGAAUUGACGGGGCCCGCACAAGCGGAGGAACAUGUGUUUUAAUUCGAUAAUACCCGAGAAACCUUACCCGGGGCUUGAACUCCAGCGGAAGGAUACAGAAAAUGUUUACGUCCCUUCGGGACCACUGUGGAGGUGCUGCAUGGUUGUCGUCAGCUCGUGCCCUGAGGUGUCGGCUUAAGUCCCCAUAACGAGCGCAACCCUUUUCAUCAGUUGCCAUCAGGUGAUGCUGGGCACUCUGGUGAUACUCCCACCAUAAGGUGUGAGGAAAGUGGGGAUGACGUCAAAUCAGCACGGCCCUUACAUCCGGGGCUACACACGUGUUACAAUGGGGCAUACAGAAGGCGGGACCAUGGCAACAUGGUUCAAAUCUUUAAAGUGCCCCUCAGUUCGGAUUGGGGUCUGCAACCCGACCCCAUGAAGCUGGAUUCGCUAGUAAUCGCGCAUCAGCCAUGGCGCGGUGAAUACGUUCCCGGGCCUUGUACACACCGCCCGUCAAGCCAUGAAAGCCGGGGGCUCUUUAAGGGCAGUGACCGUAAGGAUCGGCCUAGAGCGAAACUGGUAAUUGGGGCUAAGUCGUAACAAGGUACCCUUUCAAAGGAGGUGCGGCUGGAUCACCUCCUUUCU